rnacentral:rRNA from 1 species
UACGUAGGGUGCAAGCGUUAAUCGGAAUUACUGGGCGUAAAGCGUGCGCAGGCGGUUUUGUAAGUCAGAUGUGAAAUCCCCGGGCUUAACCUGGGAACUGCGUUUGAAACUACAAGGCUAGAGUGUGACAGAGGGGGGUGGAAUUCCACGUGUAGCAGUGAAAUGCGUAGAUAUGCGGAGGAACACCGAUGGCGAAGGCAAUCCCCUGGACCUGUACUGACGCUCAUGCACGAAAGCGUGGGGAGCAAACAGG